rnacentral:rRNA from 1 species
GGGUUGUGAGGUUAAGCGACUAAGCGUACACGGUGGAUGCCCUGGCAGUCAGAGGCGAUGAAGGACGUGCUAAUCUGCGAUAAGCGUCGGUAAGGUGAUAUGAACCGUUAUAACCGGCGAUUUCCGAAUGGGGAAACCCAGUGUGUUUCGACACACUAUCAUUAACUGAAUCCAUAGGUUAAUGAGGCGAACCGGGGGAACUGAAACAUCUAAGUACCCCGAGGAAAAGAAAUCAACCGAGAUUCCCCCAGUAGCGGCGAGCGAACGGGGAGCAGCCCAGAGCCUGAAUCAGUGUGUGUGUUAGUGGAAGCGUCUGGAAAGGCGCGCGAUACAGGGUGACAGCCCCGUACACAAAAAUGCACAUGCUGUGAGCUCGAUGAGUAGGGCGGGACACGUGGUAUCCUGUCUGAAUAUGGGGGGACCAUCCUCCAAGGCUAAAUACUCCUGACUGACCGAUAGUGAACCAGUACCGUGAGGGAAAGGCGAAAAGAACCCCGGCGAGGGGAGUGAAAAAGAACCUGAAACCGUGUACGUACAAGCAGUGGGAGCACGCUUAGGCGUGUGACUGCGUACCUUUUGUAUAAUGGGUCAGCGACUUAUAUUCUGUAGCAAGGUUAACCGAAUAGGGGAGCCGAAGGGAAACCGAGUCUUAACUGGGCGUUAAGUUGCAGGGUAUAGACCCGAAACCCGGUGAUCUAGCCAUGGGCAGGUUGAAGGUUGGGUAACACUAACUGGAGGACCGAACCGACUAAUGUUGAAAAAUUAGCGGAUGACUUGUGGCUGGGGGUGAAAGGCCAAUCAAACCGGGAGAUAGCUGGUUCUCCCCGAAAGCUAUUUAGGUAGCGCCUCGUGAAUUCAUCUCCGGGGGUAGAGCACUGUUUCGGCAAGGGGGUCAUCCCGACUUACCAACCCGAUGCAAACUGCGAAUACCGGAGAAUGUUAUCACGGGAGACACACGGCGGGUGCUAACGUCCGUCGUGAAGAGGGAAACAACCCAGACCGCCAGCUAAGGUCCCAAAGUCAUGGUUAAGUGGGAAACGAUGUGGGAAGGCCCAGACAGCCAGGAUGUUGGCUUAGAAGCAGCCAUCAUUUAAAGAAAGCGUAAUAGCUCACUGGUCGAGUCGGCCUGCGCGGAAGAUGUAACGGGGCUAAACCAUGCACCGAAGCUGCGGCAGCGACACUAUGUGUUGUUGGGUAGGGGAGCGUUCUGUAAGCCUGUGAAGGUGUACUGUGAGGUAUGCUGGAGGUAUCAGAAGUGCGAAUGCUGACAUAAGUAACGAUAAAGCGGGUGAAAAGCCCGCUCGCCGGAAGACCAAGGGUUCCUGUCCAACGUUAAUCGGGGCAGGGUGAGUCGACCCCUAAGGCGAGGCCGAAAGGCGUAGUCGAUGGGAAACAGGUUAAUAUUCCUGUACUUGGUGUUACUGCGAAGGGGGGACGGAGAAGGCUAUGUUGGCCGGGCGACGGUUGUCCCGGUUUAAGCGUGUAGGCUGGUUUUCCAGGCAAAUCCGGAAAAUCAAGGCUGAGGCGUGAUGACGAGGCACUACGGUGCUGAAGCAACAAAUGCCCUGCUUCCAGGAAAAGCCUCUAAGCAUCAGGUAACAUCAAAUCGUACCCCAAACCGACACAGGUGGUCAGGUAGAGAAUACCAAGGCGCUUGAGAGAACUCGGGUGAAGGAACUAGGCAAAAUGGUGCCGUAACUUCGGGAGAAGGCACGCUGAUAUGUAGGUGAAGUCCCUCGCGGAUGGAGCUGAAAUCAGUCGAAGAUACCAGCUGGCUGCAACUGUUUAUUAAAAACACAGCACUGUGCAAACACGAAAGUGGACGUAUACGGUGUGACGCCUGCCCGGUGCCGGAAGGUUAAUUGAUGGGGUCAGCGCAAGCGAAGCUCUUGAUCGAAGCCCCGGUAAACGGCGGCCGUAACUAUAACGGUCCUAAGGUAGCGAAAUUCCUUGUCGGGUAAGUUCCGACCUGCACGAAUGGCGUAAUGAUGGCCAGGCUGUCUCCACCCGAGACUCAGUGAAAUUGAACUCGCUGUGAAGAUGCAGUGUACCCGCGGCAAGACGGAAAGACCCCGUGAACCUUUACUAUAGCUUGACACUGAACAUUGAGCCUUGAUGUGUAGGAUAGGUGGGAGGCUUUGAAGUGUGGACGCCAGUCUGCAUGGAGCCGGCCUUGAAAUACCACCCUUUAAUGUUUGAUGUUCUAACGUUGACCCGUAAUCCGGGUUGCGGACAGUGUCUGGUGGGUAGUUUGACUGGGGCGGUCUCCUCCUAAAGAGUAACGGAGGAGCACGAAGGUUGGCUAAUCCUGGUCGGACAUCAGGAGGUUAGUGCAAUGGCAUAAGCCAGCUUGACUGCGAGCGUGACGGCGCGAGCAGGUGCGAAAGCAGGUCAUAGUGAUCCGGUGGUUCUGAAUGGAAGGGCCAUCGCUCAAC